rnacentral:lncRNA from 1 species
UCUGGAGAGCCACAGCUGCCCACUCCUGCCAGGAGCAGGCUCUGGCCAGAGACACUUUGGGUCUGAGGCAGUGACUUAGAUCCCCGCUCCACAGACCGGCAGGUCCCCAGCGCUCUGCUCCGCUCUUGCCAUGGGGGACACUGGUGGGCCGUAACGUCCCAGAGUGGGGAUGUCUUGGGAGGAGUGAUGAUGGGCAGAUGCACCUCCCCCUGUGGCGGCCAGAGGUCCCGAACAGCUCUCCAGCUCUCCAGCUCUCCAGCUCUCCACUCUGCUUCCUGGAGAACUGGAGUUGCGAUCAGCAGCUCCCGCCUCACCCCUGCCUGCACCCUAGAGCCAGGCAUGGCAGGCUCACCCGGGCCACUGCCCCUCCUCAUCACAGAUGAGGAGACUGAGGCACACAGCGCUCAAGGCACCUGGACAAGGUCUUGACUCAUGCAGCCUGGCCUAGAUGCCAGCCCGGCACCACCCCUGGAUGACAGAAAGCACAGAGGCAGGGUGGUGUCAGACCAGCACGCCAGGUAGAGAGAAGAAACUACUCCUGGGAGCCAUGGCCAGCAGUGCGGAUGAGAGACAAGGGCUGUUGAGCAGUCAGGAAGCCUCUAGCCACCUUCAGGGAGGCAGCUAAAAGGACCCACCAAGGGCACCUGGCUGAAUCUGCUCCACACGAACUGGGCCCGGGGGGAAUGAUCCUCCAGAAGAAAGGCUCAUCUUUGGAAGACGGCGGCGAGUUUGAGCAUUUGUGUUCCCUCCCAAGCGUACGUGGAAUUAAUCCUCGAGUCCACGGUGUCGGGUGGUGUGGCCAUGGGGGAGUCACCCUCACGAAGAGAUUAGCCGCCCUCAAAAGGGGACUGACAAAGGUACUUGAGCCCUUCCACCCCCUCCUACUCCGUGAGGACAGAACCCCCCACACCCCACACCCCCGGAACCAGCACUCCAGACGCCAUCUCGGAAGGAGAGGGAGAGCUCUGACCACCAGCAAGCCUUUCGGUACCCUGCCCUUGCACUCACCAGGCUGAAAAUAAAUGCUAGUGUCGGUACAGGAGCACAGGCAGGCUGCUUAAGGACAUUAGAGGCGGGAGAGCAAAGGAGAGGCGGGACAGGACUACUGCCUGCAUGCUGUUACUGGCUGAGAACUGGGCCAGAAAGGAGGAGACUAGCAGGAGUUGGAGAGGGUGAUGCCAGGUGCUGUUCACCGCGUUGAUGUCCCGAUGGGAGGUUCCUAAGAAGGUGACGGGAGGACUCCUGUGGGACUCACAGUUGUGAUUUAGCCGGCAGCAACAUUUGCACAGGGGAAUGACAGCUCUGAGUCUGAGACUGCUCACAGUAGCACCAUUCUCCAUAUUGAAAGGCUGAGGGGACCACAGAGAAACUGUUAACUAAAUAAAGGUGUAUCCCAGGACUGCAGAGCUCCAGAUGUGCCAGUGCCACUGAACCCCCGUGCUAACAGAUGCCCAAAGCCCCAGCACAGCUUCCAGCAGCAUUCAGCUCCCUGUCACAAUGCUGAAGGACUUACUGCUUGUUCAGAUGACGUGACAUGCUGUGGCUAGAACGCCUCUCCCAAAGGUCGUGUGUUGAAAGCUAUGAUGAGUAUUCUGAGAGGUGAGGCUGUGAGGAGGGGACAGGUCACGAGGGCGCCGUCCUCAUGAGUGAAUUAAUCCAUUCGUGGACGGCUGGGUUAUCACAGCAGUGGCUGUUGCAAAGCUGAUCUCUCCUGCAGACCUCUGCCACCGCUCAACUCCAUGACCCGGCAGGAAAGCCUUUCCAGGAGGCUCGCCACAUGCCGGUACCCUGCUCUCGGACUUCCUGGCCUCCAGAACCAUGCACUAGGUAAACCUCUACCUUGAGUGGGGGGACUAAUUCAAGAUUUAACCCGGGGAGUGCUAAGGUACACACCUAGCCCUUUUCAUUUUAUUUAUUUAUUGAGACAGAGUCUUACUAAGUUGCUGAGACUGGCCUCAAACUUGUAAUCCUCCUGCCUCAGCCUUCCAAGUAGCUGAGAUGACAGGCCAGUGCCACCACACAUGGCUAAACUUUGGUUCUUUAUACAUUACCCAAUCUGUGGUAUGCAGUUAUAGCCACAGAAAAUGGACUUCGACACCCAGUGAUGGGCUCCUGACCUCUCCAAGCAUUUUCUAAGUAAGGGCUUGCAAAGAAGACUCUUUCCUGUCUCUGAGAUGUGUGGCUAUCUCCUACAACUCAGGACUGUAUCUCUCAAGGACCUGAAGGCCAUUCCCUUGAAAUGUUUUCCCCAAGAAAUCUCUGUGGGAGGACACAGUCCUCACUUUCAUCAUUGCAGCUGGCAGACACAGCUGGUCUAAUCACUCUGACACUGACCAGCUCUGCCAUUUGUCACCACACACACAUUCUCCCACUAAAGUGCUCAGUCAACCCUAUGUGAAUCAGAAC